rnacentral:rRNA from 1 species
GAUGAACGCUAGCGGCAGGCUUAAUACAUGCAAGUCGAGGGGCAACAUGGUGUAGCAAUACACUGAUGGCGACCGGCAAACGGGUGCGGAACACGUACAGAACCUUCCUUCGAGCGGGGAAUAGCCCAGAGAAAUUUGGAUUAAUACCCCAUAGUAUAAUGAAGAGGCAUCUCUUUAUUAUUAAAGAUUUAUCACUUGAAGAUGGCUGUGCGGCUGAUUAGGUAGUUGGCGGGGUAACGGCCCACCAAGCCUACGAUCAGUAACUGGUGUGAGAGCACGACCAGUCACACGGGCACUGAGACACGGGCCCGACUCCUACGGGAGGCAGCAGUAAGGAAUAUUGGUCAAUGGACGAAAGUCUGAACCAGCCAUGCCGCGUGGAGGAUGAAGGUCCUCUGGAUUGUAAACUUCUUUUAUACGGGACGAAAAAAGACUUUUCUAAGUCGUCUGACGGUACCAUAUGAAUAAGCACCGGCUAACUCCGUGCCAGCAGCCGCAGUAACAC